GAGCUCUAGUGUUCUAGGACAUGGGCAAGACUUAAAAUUCAACACUGCUUGUAGAUCUAAGAAUUAAGUUGUUUUAAGGAUGAAAUGCAUUAAAAGGGAGUCCAUUUGAUGAUAGAUCCCAUCCUAGAGUUUAAUUAACUUUCCACCACACUGGAUCACCCGCCAAGCCAUUCCCACUAAGACUGCCUCUGCAGCUGCCCAGCUCUGGUUUUAACCCAUGCUGUGGCUUUUUGUUGGCUCAGUAAUUUCCCUGUGACAUAGCUUGCAUUUCUGGUUAUUAAGACAGCAUUCACAACUUUUAUCAAGCGCCUGCUAUGUGCUAAGCUCUGUUGUUAGGCCCUCAGGUGCAAAGGUGAAAAGUCCUGACCCCUGCCCUUAUGGAGUGUAUAAUCUAAUAGACAUGGCUGGCACGUGAACAGAAAGUUUGAGAUGGUGGAAUGAGUGUACAUGAAAGUGUAUAUGUUUUAAACAUAUUUGUAGCUGAAUUCUAAGUGCCAGAAUUCUAGAACUCUAGAAUUCUAGAGAGUCUAGAGAAGGGGAAGAGAUUUUAGCAGCAUCGAUCCCAGUCCUCUUGUUUUAUGGUAGUGAGAACUACGGCCUGGAGAUUCAAGGCAUUUUUCCAAAGCCACACACACUGUCAGUAGCAGAGCCAAGACUAAAAUGUGAGCUUCUGGCCGGGCGCGGUGGCUCACGCCUGUAAUCCCAGCACUUUGGGAGGCCGAGGUGGACAAAUCACCCAAAGUCAGGAGUUUGAGACCAGCCUGCCCAACAUGGUGAAAUCCCAUCUCUACUAAAAAUACAAAAACUAGCCAGGCGUGGUGGCAGGCACCUGUAAUCCCAGCUACUUGGGAGGCUGAGGCAGGAGAAUCGCUUAAACCCGGGAGGUGGAGGUUGCAGUGAGCCGAGAUCAAGCCACUGCACUCCAGCCUGGGUGACAGAGUGAGACUCUGUCUCAAAAAAAAAAAAGUGAGCUUCUUAGCUUUGAUCUGGAGCUCUGGCACUCACCACCUCAGGCUUCCUUGAGACUCCUUUGACAGCCCACUAGGCCCUGAUCCUGGUUUUGUUGUAGGAGCACCUGACAUCCAGCAGAGGGAGCAAAUCUGACAUCAGAGACCCUGGGCGGGGUUGAGGUUCUCUUGCAUAUCCUUUUUGACAAAAGAGAAACAAUUCCUUCUCAAAUUGCACUGCAAAGAAUAAGAAAACAUAAUCCCCUUGGAGAUAUUCUCUGCUCUCAGUCUGAAGGAGAAAAAGCUCCCCAGGAUUCCUAAAUAACAGAGAAGUUUGUAGUGUAGGAAGAAUCUAGAAGUUGGGUUGGAGAGAAAUGUGGGAAAGUCUUACUUUUAAAGAGACAUUCCCUAAAGAUGGGGAAGAAGUUCUGAAACAGUGAUGUACCAGUGACCAUGAAUGUUUCAGAGAAGGUCAGAUUUGCAGCAUGUGUCUUAGAGAAAGGCUAAAUCUCAACCCAGAGGAAGCAUGUCUUCUGUCUCAAGCCUCCUGCGUGCUGUUUGUCUUGCAGUAUCUGAACACAGUCAUUCCUUACGAGAAGAAAGCCUCUCCUCCCUCAGUGGAAGACCUGCAGAUGCUGACAAACAUUCUCUUUGCCAUGAAGGAGGAUAAUGAGAAGGUGCCUACUUUGCUAACGGACUACAUUUUAAAAGUGCUCUGCCCUACCUAACCUUGCCCUUUGGAGCAGCCUCGCUGCAGGAGGUCACUGAGCAAGAGUCAUUCCAUCACAGGGACUGCAUGACACCACGUAACCUCCGACAUGUAUUUAAACGUGUAUAGCUUAACCCGGAUUAAACAUGAGCAAGCGCGCGGGGUCCUUUGCCGUUGGCUUCUAGUGCUAGUAAUCAUUGGAUGCAUGAUGGGGCAGGGCCGGUGAUGGUGCCUUCUCCUUGCUGGUGUCAGGAGAGGGGAAGGCAG
rnacentral:sRNA from 1 species